UGGGGAAUCUUGCGCAAUGGGGGAAACCUUGACGCAGCAACGCCGCGUGGAUGAUGAAGGCCUUCGGGUCGUAAAGCCCUGUCAGGUGGGAAGAAACUUGUAGAUGUUAAUACCAUCCGCAAUUGACGGUACCACCGGAGGAAGCACCGGCUAACUCCGUGCCAGCAGCCGCGGUAAUACGGAGGGUGCAAGCGUUGUUCGGAAUUAUUGGGCGUAAAGCGCGUGUAGGUGGUCAGGUAAGUCAGAUGUGAAAGCCUUCUGCUUAACAGAAGAAGUGCAUUUGAAACUGCUUGGCUAGAGUACGGGAGAGGAGAGUGGAAUUCCCGGUGUAGAGGUGAAAUUCGUAGAUAUCGGGAGGAACACCAGUGGCGAAGGCGGCUCUCUGGUCCGAUACUGACGC
rnacentral:rRNA from 1 species